UCGCGGCUUAUCACCGGCAGUCCCCUUAGAGUGCCCAACUGAAUGAUGGCAACUAAGGGCGAGGGUUGCGCUCGUUGCGGGACUUAACCCAACGUCUCACGACACGAGCUGACGACAGCCAUGCAGCACCUGUCUCUCGGCUCCCGAAGGCACCCCCGCAUCGCUGCAGGGUUCCGAGGAUGUCAAGACCAGGUAAGGUUCUUCGCGUUGCAUCGAAUUAAACCACAUGCUCCACCGCUUGUGCGGGCCCCCGUCAAUUCCUUUGAGUUUUAAUCUUGCGACCGUACUCCCCAGGCGGGGUGCUUAAAGCGUUAGCUGCGCCACGGAGGACGUGGAAAGUCCCCCACACCUAGUACCCAUCGUUUACGGCGUGGACUAC
rnacentral:misc_RNA from 1 species